CAAGGAAUAUUGCCCAAUGGACGGAAGUCUGAGGCAGCAACGCCGCGUGAAGGACGAAGGCCUUCGGGUCGUAAACUUCUUUUCUGAGGGAAGAGCAAGGACGGUACCUCAGGAAUAAGCUUCGGCUAACUACGUGCCAGCAGCCGCGGUAAAACGUAGGAAGCGAGCGUUAUCCGGAUUUACUGGGCGUAAAGGGCAGGCAGGCGGUUGGCUAAGUCCUACUUGAAAGCUCCCGGCUCAACUGGGAGAGGCGGUGGGAAACUAGCGGACUAGAGGAUGGUAGAGGAGAGUGGAAUUCCCGGUGUAGUGGUGAAAUGCGUAGAUAUCGGGAGGAACACCAGUGGCGAAAGCGGCUCUCUGGGCCAUACCUGACGCUCAACUGCGAAAGCCAGGGGAGAGAACGGGAUUAGAAACCCCGGUAUUCCUGGCCGUAAACGAUGUUAACUCGGCGUAGGGGGUGUCAAAGCCCUCUGUGCUCCAGCCAACGCGAUAAGUUAACCGCCUGGGGAGUACGGCCGCAAGGCU
rnacentral:rRNA from 1 species